rnacentral:rRNA from 1 species
AACCCGACUCCGUGAAGCUGGAUUCGCUAGUAAUCGCGCAUCAGCCAUGGCGCGGUGAAUACGUUCCCGGGCCUUGUACACACCGCCCGUCAAGCCAUGGAAGCCGGGGGCGCUUGAAGUGCGUUGCCGCAAGGCGCGCCCUAGAGCGAAACCGGUGACUGGGGCUAAGUCGUAACAAGGUACC